GGGCUAUUAGCUCAGUUGGUUAGAGCACACCCCUGAUAAGGGUGAGGUCCCUGGUUCAAAUCCAGGAUAGCCCACCA